GACGAACGCUGGCGGCGUGCUUAACACAUGCAAGUCGAACGGAAAGGCCCUGCUUUUGUGGGGUGCUCGAGUGGCGAACGGGUGUGUAACACGUGAGUAACCUGCCCUUGUCUUUCUGAUAACUUCAGGAAACCGGGGCUAAUACCGGCUAGGAGCUCCCCCUGCAUGGAGGGGGUUGGAAAGUUUCGGCGGUGGUGGUUGGACUCGCGGCUUAUCGGCUUGUUGGUGGGGUAGUGGCUUACCCAGGCUUUGACGGGUAGCCGGCCUGAGCAGGUGACCGGCCACAUUGGGACUGAGAUACGGCCCAGACUCCUACGGGAGGCAGCAGUGGGAAAUAUUGCACAGUGGGCGGACGUCUGAUGAAGCAGCGCCGCGUGUGGGAUGACGGCCUUCGGGUGGUAAACCGCUUUGGCCUGUGACGAAGCGUGAGUGACGGUACUGGAUAAAGAAGCACCGGCUAACUACGUG
rnacentral:rRNA from 1 species